CAUGUAUCAAGAAAUACAGUUCUGUGCAAAAGGCUUAGAAAAUGUAAAGAAAAAUGCCACAAAGGAGUAUUCCUUGUCAGGAGCUAAAGAUGGAGAAGAUGGGCAUUUGUUUACGUCUUCGGUGCAACAAUUAACAGGGUGAAUUUGUCCAGUUGAGAAUAAGAAUGGGCUAAUACGCUAACAGACGAAAAAGAAUGGCGAUGAGAAAGGAGAUGAGAAAAAAGAAGGCAAACAGAGUAUAGCGGCACAUUGCCAAUGACUUUCCCAUGGAGAAAAUUCCACUGGCCAGAAAGUGACUGGAAUCUGGAUUGAAGACGACUCUCUCUGCUUGACCUUAUGGCUCAUCAAAUCAAACAGAACCCGAGGGAGACGCCUGUAACAAGGCCUU